GACGAACGCUGGCGGCGUGCCUAAUACAUGCAAGUAGAACGCACAGUUUAUACCGUAGCUUGCUCCACCAUAAACUGUGAGUUGCGAACGGGUGAGUAACGCGUAGGUAACCUGCCUGGUAGCGGGGGAUAACUAUUGGAAACGAUAGCUAAUACCGCAUAAUAUUAAUUAUUGCAUGAUAAUUUAUUGAAAGAUGCAAUUGCAUCACUACCAGAUGGACCUGCGUUGUAUUAGCUAGUAGGUGAGGUAACGGCUCACCUAGGCGACGAUACAUAGCCGACCUGCGAGGCGGAUAGGCCAAGCUGGGACGGAGACACGGCCCAGACCACUACGGGAGGGAGCAGUAGGGAAUCUUCGGCAAUGGACGAAAGUCUGACCGAGCAACGCCGCGUGAGUGAAGAAGGGUGUCGGAUCGUAAAGCUCGGUUGUAAGAGAAGAACGGGUGUGAGAGUGGAAAGUGCACACUGUGACGGUAUCUGAACAGAAAGGGACGGCUAACUACGUG
rnacentral:rRNA from 1 species